rnacentral:rRNA from 1 species
GACAGAGGGUGCAAACGUUGUUCGGAAUUACUGGGCGUAAAGCGAGUGUAGGCGGUUCGAUAAGUCGGAUGUGAAAGCCCCGGGCUCAACCCGGGAAGUGCACUCGAUACUGUCGAGCUAGAGUAUCGGAGAGGUUGGUGGAAUUCUCGGUGUAGAGGUGAAAUUCGUAGAUAUCGAGAGGAACACCGGUGGCGAAGGCGGCCAACUGGACGAAUACUGACGCUGAGACGCGAAAGCGUGGGGAGCAAACAGG